rnacentral:rRNA from 1 species
GAUGAACGCUGGCGGCGUGCCUAAUACAUGCAAGUCGAGCGAACAGACGAGGAGCUUGCUCCUCUGACGUUAGCGGCGGACGGGUGAGUAACACGUGGAUAACCUACCUAUAAGACUGGGAUAACUUCGGGAAACCGGAGCUAAUACCGGAUAAUAUAUUGAACCGCAUGGUUCAAUAGUGAAAGACGGUUUUGCUGUCACUUAUAGAUGGAUCCGCGCCGCAUUAGCUAGUUGGUAAGGUAACGGCUUACCAAGGCAACGAUGCGUAGCCGACCUGAGAGGGUGAUCGGCCACACUGGAACUGGGACACGGUCCAGACUCCUACGGGAGGCAGCAGUAGGGAAUCUUCCGCAAUGGGCGAAAGCUUGACGGAGCAACGCCGCGUGAGUGAUGAAGGUCUUCGGAUCGUAAAACUCUGUUAUUAGGGAAGAACAAAUGUGUAAGUAACUAUGCACGUCUUGACGGUACCUAAUCAGAAAGCCACGGCGAACUACGU